UAGAAAGCAGCACACAUGACCUCUGUCCUUCCAGCUGCCACCAGUUUCUGGGUUGUCGAGUGAUACCCUGAAAGUUUACAGUCAACACUCCUUGUGUGGGGUCAGUCCUAGAAAUGGCGACGCUGCUCUCCGAAGAUAGGAAAGAAAAGGACCUCAUUCCAUUGAGCCAUUGACCGAAAUAUUUUCUCAACAAAGUUGAACUGAGCUGAAACUGUGUGAAUCAUGGCAAUACAGUGAAAGACAGUGAUUUACUGCUUUUGAGGGCGUGCAUGUAUAUGAUUAACGGAUGGAAGUGCAGGACUCCAAGAUUUACUUCCUUCCCUUUCCAGCAGAAUUACCUGAGACGAGUAAAAUCUACUGGUGGAGUCACUCCAUUAUUCUUAUCUGUGGAGAUCUAGAUCUUGAUUUGAAAGUUUCUGAGAAAAUCUUCAGCUCAGACUUGAGGGUCAACUUUACCAGCUGAAGGAUCUGCAUUUACUGCUCAACCACAUCUAAUUUGAUGUCCUCUGCAGAUUUAAAAUGUGUGCCUUCUUUUCCGUCACCAAGUCAUCCCUGGGUUACUACUGAACAUCCUUCUCAAUUCCCCCCGACCCAUGGAUGGCUGUUCUCCAUUGUCUGUUUCACCAGAUGUCCUCAAAACAAACAGACAGAAGAAGGAAGUGGCUAAUGGAGCUGUGGAGUCCAAGUGUGACUGCCAAGAGGAAUCCAGCAAAGCCAAAAAGCCCAAGCAUGUAGCCCUGCCCGAAGCACGCCACACGCAUGGAAAACCCAGAGGAAAUGAGUGAGGAUCAAUGGGAAGAAGAGAGCCAGCCAGGCUCACAGGCAGAAGGAAUUUUCCUUGUCUUGGAUGAGACUUUUGACUUGGACUUUUGGGUUAAGUUCUGGAGACCAGAAGGCCAAAAUCAAAAGUAUGGGCAGGCUUGAUUUCUUUAGAAGACUCCAGCGGAGAACUGUGUCUCCUUGCUUCUGAUUCUACAUCUCCAUCCAUGGGCCACUGUUUCAGCAACCUCAGCCAGUGCAACACAACCUCAGCCAAGAAGAGUAUGCAGAGAAAGGAGUCCCCUACCUGCCACAAAACUGUUGUCUGAAAACUGUCUCAUAUUGUCUCAAGUUGUCAUUCAUUGUGAAUUAGACCUGUUUAACAUGUAAUCUGCAACAUGCUUCACUGUCUAAUUUUCCAGAGCCCCUCAUAUAAGGAACUGUAUUAUUGGUAUAAUCAUCAUGGUGAAGAAGUUGGUAUGUGGGGGAGAGAUGACAGAAACAGAGAGUAAGUCAGAGCUGGCUGCCUGACAGAUAAAAAGGAAAUGACCAAAAAAAAAAAAAAAGACACAGAAGAAUACUUUGUUGUCCACACAGAAAAGGGAAGUGUAGGUAAGACAGCAGUAGACUAAGAUUCUUAAGACUCAAGUUCUAGUCUUAUUUAUUAGCUAUGGGAGGCCUUGAGGGAGUUCUAGAAUUAAGUGAUCUCUCUUUAUAAAAUAGGAACAGUAAUAACUUCCUGGCUAACUCCCUGGCUGUCUCACAAUGCUGUAGUAGUAAGAAAUAAUUUUAUAAUUAAAGACUAUUUUAGGGCUGAUUACAUUUUUGGGCAGUGGCUCAUACAUGUAAUUUCAACAUUUUGGGAGGCCAAGGUGGGCGGAUUGCUUGAGCCCAGGAAUUCAAGACCAGGCUGGGCAACACAGACCUUGUCACUACAAAAGAAAAAAACAUUAGCUAGGCGUGGUGAUGUAUGCCUGUGGUCCCAGCUACUCAGGAAGCUGAGACAGGAGGAUCACCUGAGCCUGGGAGGUCGAGGCUACAGUGAGCCAUGAUCACACUACUGCACUCCAGCCUGGGAAACAGAGUGAGACUCUGUCUCAAAAAAAAAAAAAAAGGAAUAUUUUACACUUCAAGGUUCUAUACAAAUGUAAAAUAUCAUUCUAUUACUUAUUUAUAAUGCUGAUUAUUCUUUAAAUGACUUUAAAAUGUUAAUCUCUGCUUGAGCCUACGGAGAAGUAUGUAACAAAUUUGUGAAGGAUUGGCAUUAAACAUAGUCAAAAUAAAACAUAGAAAUUAUGGUAAAUAAUUUAACUGGUAAAAUAAUCUAAGUGGUAGUUCUCAGGUAAGUGGAAAUUCGAUUAGCUGAUUGUUUAGGAUUCUUGGUUAUAAGUGACAGAGACCUGACUAAAAGUACAUGAAGCACAUAACUGAGAAGGUUGUGGUAUGGCUCAGCAGAAAUGGGAAAAUCUUGGGACUGGUUCGUGUUUUAUUUACAUUAUCUUUGUUCCCAGGCAGUCUCUGCAUGUAAGUGGCAAAGAUGACUGUCUGAAAAUAUAUACCUACUUUUUUAAAGGGCUAUCUCAAGCCAUUCUGGAGAAGCACCAAAAGCCACUUUGCUUAUACUGGGAGAAUAGUUUGCUUUCCCUAAUUUGUGAUGAGUGAAACACUGAACAGAGACAUAGAAUAAUAUUCUGUAGUUCAGGGUUGGUGUAAUAUGGCCAGUGGGCGGAAUCUGGUCCUCAGACUGAUUUUGCAAAUAAUCUUAUAGAAACACAGCAACACCCAUUCAUUACAUGUUGUUUAUGGUUGCUUUGGGGUUACAAUGGCAGAGUUGAGUAGUUGUGACAGAGAUCACUAGGCUCACCACAUCUGAGAUAUGUACUGACUGACCCUGUACAGAAAGUUUGCUGCUCUUAGAGGAAUGUGUGUUUCUAGUGUCAGCAAUAAACUUCUUGGAUUUGUUUUGUUUUCUCAUCUUUACAUGAUAGUUGCAGACUAGUUGAUCCUUGUGACCUGUUUUUGAAUGCCACUGUGUAUUCUGUCAGGGCCCUCUGAUUCUGUUUCUUAUGGUGCUGAAUGCACAAUUUAAUGCCCUGGAAUUUCCUUCUGUCUUCUGCUAAACUCAUGCCUCUUCAGAUAGUUAAAAUCCUGUUCUACCUUAGAAGUCUCCAGAGUUAUUUUCCUAAAUUAAGAAGAACUGGCUUUGAAGUUACUCAUUAUGCCACACACAAUGGUUGAAAAGAGCAUCUCUUAUGUACUGUGUAUAUUUCAGCAUCCACUCAGCUUCUUAGGUAGAAAAGGAAGAGUCUUCCACAGUGUAUUUUAUCCAUAUUUGGGUCAGAAACUCUUCUUUACCACGGAGCGUGAUGGAAGAAAGAUAUGGGAUGGUAACAGUAGGCCAGGGAUGUAAUAAUCACAAAAUUUGAGAUAUUUUGUGACUGGUGACUCACGCCUGUGAUCCCAGCAUUUUGGGAGGCCAAAGCGGGCGGAUCACCUGAGGUCAGGAGUUCAAGACCAGCUUGGCCAAUGUAGUGAAACCUCAUCUCUACUAAAAAAAUAUAAAAAUUAGCUGGGUGUGGUGGUGCACACCUGUAAUCCUAGCUACUCAGGAGGCUGAGGCAGGAGAAUAGCUUGAACCAAGGAGGUGGAGGUUGCAGUGAGCUGAGAUUGUGCCACCACUGCAUUCCAGUCUGGGUGACAGAGCGAGACUCUGUCUCAAAAAAAAAAAAAAAAAAAAUCUAGAAAAAGAUCUCCAAGAUUCAAUCAUCUAAUUAUUUCUUUUAAAAAUGAGAAAAAUGACUCCUGGUCAGCUUUUACCUUCUUUUUCCAACUGUCUUGACAAUACUUUCAUAUUGGGCUUUUAAAGUCUCAAGUAAUAGGUUUUUAAAACCUCAGCUGAUAAAAGUAUAAAAAUAAAGUUAAAACAUAUUAAAGACAAAACCCAAGAAUCAGCUUCCUCUUCCUUCAUUACUCUUGCAUGGGUGUUGGCUCUAAUUUCUCCAUCUAGUUAGGCAGUCCUUUGCUUUUUAUUGCUUGUUUAUUGAUGACAUUUGCCAUUUGUAGCAAUAGUAAUAGAAUCAUCUAUAUAUUUGUGGCCUUGUUGAAUGUAGAAAAAGGAUAGUGGCAUUUUCUAAUUGUGUAACCCUAUAACACCUUGACGGGGGACUACAGUUCAUAUGCUGGACCUUUUGUGUUUGUUCAUGGCGGGUGGGUUGCUUUAAUAUACUUAGCACAUUGUCCUAAUUGCCAUCCUUUUGGGGAGGGCUAUAUAUCCAAGCUAAUAUGGUAGCAUUUUUGUUUUAACAUAGAGCUGACCCAAGGUAGACGUAAGUGUUGUUCAUUUUUGCCUAAUACUAAUAAAAUUACCUAAUUGUUGAAGCUUGGAGCUUGAAUCUAGGCAUUUUAUUUCAUUUCAAGUACACCCUAGUAUUUUAAAGCAUAAAUAUCCUACUAUCCUCAACAACUUUAGAACAAAAAUAAAUAUUUUAACAAGAAAAAAGCAUGCCAUGACAAGCUGUAACUUAGUAAAGAAAGACAAGGAAUGGUCUCUAUAGACCGAGAAAAAAUAGGUCCUCAGAUAUAUUUAUACCAAAGGAAUGUUAUGAAUGUAAAAAACAGUUUGACUCCCCCCCCCCCGCCAAAAAAAAACUCCACAACCCUAUAUUUUGUUAUCACAAGACUGUUUUAGUGAAUAAAACAGUAUGAAUUGGUUUUACCUGUUUCCAUUUAAUACUUAUUAACUUUAUAAUCGUAUAGCCUGAGGGUUUUAACUUCAAGUACAGCAUGAUGACUAUAAUAGUUUUACACAAGGCAAAUGUGAAAAACAGAAGUAAUUUCUUUUAAAAAGUGUGAAAUAUCUAAAAGGUAUGACUUCAAUACAUCAACUCAGGUGAGACAGACAUGUAACUUCUUUUUCCAUGUUUAAACCUAAUAUUGCUUUUGUGCCUCUGAAGGCUCGGAGUUUCCAUGCCUUCUUAGGACAUGCCACCCUCUCCACACCUGGAUGUGUUCACCAACCCAGAAGCUCUUGGAACCCCAUCAUUUGGGGUUUUUAUGGAGUCCCCAUUAAGUAGGUAUGACUGAUUAAAUCACUGGCCAUUGGUGGUUGACUCAAUCUCCAGCCUCUCUUCCCUCUCUGAAGGUGAAGGGGUGGGAAGGUGAGGCUAAGUUCCAACCCUCGGAUCACAGGGUUGGUUCCUCUGCAACCAGGCUUCAUCGUGAAACAAUACAGGGCCCACCGAGAGUCACCCCAUUAGCAAACUCAGAUGUGAUUGAAAGGGGCUUAUUAUGAAUAUCAAAAGACAUUUCUCUUUCUCCUAUUACUCAGACAGUUACAAGGGUUUCAGAAGCUCUUGCACCAGGAACUGGGAACAAAGACCAAAUAUAUAUGUCUUCUUCUAUUACAAUGUCACAGGUGUGACAGAGUAGGUAAAUGGAGUCUCAGAGAGUCCCCAGAGUAUUCCAUGGAGCCACAAAAUGAAGAAUAAAUGGAUGGUUCUCCCCAUGAUCAAAAGUGGCCUGAAAAUACUUGAGAAUGAGUCAUAACUUAAAAGGCUGUAUAGUAGAAAAGAAUGCACAGAGGACCGAAUGUAAAAGAAGGCACCCCAGUCUCAGCUAGUGUGGAUGCAUGCCAGUGUAGAAAGAUGCUAGUGUGGCUACAUUGGUGCACUGAAGACCAAACUCCUGCAUGGCCCCACAUCCUUGAUACCUUAGAUCUAUAUCAUCCCCUAAAACUUAGGUGUUAUGACAUUCAGGAUAUGCUACCCCAUCAUUUUUUAGGCUGAAGGAAUUUGAGAAAACAGAAGCAGGAAUGUAAUUGCCCAGUGGGUUCUUCCUGCCCUGUGCACAGACAAAACCAGUUCACUGAGACCAUGGUAUUGCAGUUAAGAAAGAGUUUAACAGGAGGCUGGCCACAUGGAAGAAUUACAGUUAUUACAAAUUAGUCUCCCUGAAGGCUCAGAGGUCAGGGUUUUUCAUGGAUAGUUCGGUGAGCAGUGGAUUAGGGGUAAGUGCUGCUGAUUGGUUGGGGAUACAAUCAUAGGGGUGUGGAAAAUGGUCCUUGUGUGCUGAGUCACCUCUGGGUGGGAGGCCAUGGGACCCAUUGAGUCAUGAGUCACGAGGCUGGGUUGGGUCAGUGUGAAAAACAUCUCAAAAGACCAAUCUUAGGUUCAAAAUAGGUGAUAUUACCUGUAGGAGCAAUUGGGAAAGUUAUAAAUUAUAUGACCUCUUGGCCCCAUGACUUCUGAGCAGUAAGAGAUGAUAGAAACUAAACCUACAUUUUAUCAGCACUCAGGCCUCUUCCAUAAUCCUAAUCUUGUGGCCUUUCGUUAGUCUUAUAAAGGUGGUUUGGUAACUGCCCUCAAGCAAGGAGGGGAUCAGUUUUAGGGAGGUGCUAUUAUCAUCCUUGCUUCAAAGUUAAGCUGUAAACUAAAUUCCUCCCAUAAUUAGCUUGGCCUACACCCAGAAAUGAGCAAAGACAGCCAGCCUGUGAUGUUAGAAGCAAGAUGGAGUUAGUCAUGUUAGAUUUCUCUCACUGUCAUAAUCUUUGCAAGGGAGGUUCCAGGAAGGUCAUCCUACCUUUCCCCUCACCCUUCUCAUGUGACACAGGUCAUAAAGCCUAGGAAGGAUUUUCCGACCUUUCCCUGAAGCAGGUCGUAAGACCCUCAUUGGGGAGGUGCCAUUUCUAGACCAAGAGAAAAGGCACAUCCUUAUGUCUGAAGACACAGGGACACAGAGAAGAAUCUGAACAAACAGGUCUUGCUAAGUUCCCCCCAGUUUGUUUUCAUUAGAUCAUGCCCCUUUAUUCAAUGCUGUUUCUCCACAACUAUCCAUUUCUUCAUCAAGCCUAGCAUAAAAAAUACAGGUUUCACGGUUUCUUUGGGUCUUCAUUUCCUUAUAAAGUCUCCUGUACCAUGUAAAACUUAAAUAAGUUUCUCUGCUUUUCUCUUGUUGAUUCUGUCCUUUGUUUUAUAACCCUCAGACAUGAACCUAGUGAUGAGUGAGGGGAAGAUAAUUUAUUUUCCUCUACAGAUGCAAAAGGGAAAAGGGAACAAUCCCUAAACGGAAGUUAUGAUCCAGGGAUCAGAGGCUCAAAAGCAAGAUUAGGUUUAAAUGUAGAAAAAUACAUUCCUCUUUCAUUUUAGAUAUCCCAAAUGCCCAAAUCAACCCAGCUAUUUCUCAGAAGUCUGUUUCCCCUCCACCCUCUGCUCCUCUGUGUAGUGAAACUGUCUCGUUUGGGAGUAAAAUGGCCUGGCUUUCCUUACUGAGUAUACUCUCAAGACUAUUGCCUAUUACUUUUUUCCAUUCCUUCUUGAGAACUACGCUUUUUAAAACAAGAAUUGACUCCAUUUAUCUUUUUCUUUUAGCCUUCUGCUGGGGUAUGCCUUCUCUAAAGCAAUGAAUAAAAAAUGCUUUAGCUGAAUAAAUGGGGCAAGGAUCAAGGAGUACAAGCUAAUAUUUCACAAUAUUAUCCUGCCAUAAAUAAAAGUAUGGUUUAAAUGACAAUGGUGGGGUUAGGAGUUACAGGUCACUGAAACACCACCUUAUUCAUGCUACCAGCCCCUUGGCUUUCCUGAUGGCAGCAGGGAAGCAACACAUAGGUAGAAUUAUGAGCCAACAUCGUGACUGGAGAGGGAUUGAAAAUCUUAUUUGUUGUCUUCCUAGACUAUUACAGUUAUCUGUUGAAAUUAGACUCAAUUCUUUGGCGAAAGUACUCAUUUUUAAGGUCCAUAAUAAAUUGUAACUAUGUAGCCUUUGUUGCAUGAGUUUAGUAUGAGCUGAUUGGUGGGCCACAGUGAAAGGCAGAGGGAAAUGGAUGUUAACUAAGAGGUAGAAGUCCCCUUGAAGUUCUGACCCUGUCACUAAUGAAGUCUUUAUUUCCGUAUUUAGUAAUUGCCUUUUUUUUUUUUUUUUGAGACAGAGUCUUGCUCUGUCGCCAGGAUGGGGUACAGUGGCACAGUAUCUGCUCACUGCAACCUCCGCCUCCCAGGUUCAAGCAGUUCCCCUGCCUCAGCUUCCUGAAUAGCUGGGACUACAGGUGUCUGCCGCCAUGCCUGGCUAAUUUUUGUAUUUUUAGUAGAGACGGGGUUUCACUAUGUUGGCCAGGAUGGUCUCGAUCUCCUGACCUCGUGAUCUGCCCACCUCAGCCUCCCAAAGCUAGGAUUACAGACGUGAGCCACCAUGCCCGGCCAACUGCCUUCUUUAUAUCUCAUUUUAAAAAUUUAUAACAAAGAAGUGGGUUGAUUUUCAAGACCUAGUUGUGUUAGUUUGAAUGAGAUGCAUACAUUUGGCAAGUCUGGGGUCUAAGAAAAGAUAAAGAUCUGAAUGCUGAAAAUCUAGAGAAUUCAGGUUACUGGGGGAUAACUUAAAGUCACUAGGGAAUUCGGGUUACUGGGGGGAUAACUUAAGGUCACUAGGGAAUUCGGGUUACUGGGGGGAUAACUUAAGGUCACUAGAACCCAAAUGCAGGGAAGAGUUGGGUGCUCUUUGGCAAAUAAACAUUCCUGACUUAGCAUUUUUCUUAAACCCGAACGUGCCAGCUGUUUUUUUGUUUUUUUGUUUUUUUGUUUUGUGACCUCAGCCAGGCUUGCGUGUUUAUUCAUCACAUAUUCUAAGCUCAUAUACAACUGUGACCUGAUCCAGCCUUCAAGGAACUCACUCUUGAUUUUAGGAAUCUUUCCACCACUUCGAUUUCAUCUUACUCCUGAAACAGUCAGCCAGAACUGUCUAAUUCAGUCUAUACUUCUGAUACAAAACUCUACCCAGCAACCACUAUGGUUUUGUUGCUUUAGGUACGUGUUAGAAAGCACCCACAUCAAUUUACAGAAAAUCCUUAACUGAAUCUCUAGUCCCAGAGGAGUCAUAUUUUAUUAUAUGGUGCUUUUUAUUUAAAGAGAUCGGUUUAAUAGAAAUUACUCAGGCAUUUGAAGUGAUAGCUUUAAAAUGUGGGACUGGGGAAAAUAAGAACACUUGACCUCUCUCCAUAAAAUUGAAUUGUUCUUUAGGUUUAAAGUUUUGACAGACAAAGAGAAAGUGAGAGCAAGUGAGGGUGAAAAUAUAUCCUUAUUUGGUAAUGAGUACCCAUUAAGAGGACAGUAUAUUACAUUUCAUCUUCUUACUUCACAUUCCUGUUUUAAGGAUUUGUGAGCAAAGUGCUGUGAGACCUCUAGAGUUAAGAGGCUGGAGAUAGGUAGUUUUGAUGGUAUUUUAAGGAGUGCUCCAUAAUGUGUAGUGUCUGAGUGCUGAAGCUUAAUCAGCUUCAAUUAAAUCCAAAACAUACUGAAUAGCUCCUAUGUGUCUGGCAUUGAGCUGUGUGCCAAAGUGGUGGAAAGAUGUAAGAGCCACUGAGGCUUAGAGAUGAAAAGGAUCUUGGAGCCACUGGUUUCCUGCCUGCUGGAGUUUCACCAUCAAGGACCCUUUCGUUAUUUUCCUUCUCCCAUGCAUUUUAUUAAAAUUUUUGGUUUAGUAAACCAAAUUCACUAAUGGGAUGUUAUUUUCAUAUCAAAGAGUAUAAUUCUGCCAAUCAAGGCUUCUGAUCAGCAUAAAAUAAUUAGGUUUCAUACUGAAUGCACAAAUUCUAGUCAAAAGCAAAGCCAUUUGAUGACAUGUCUGCUAUGUUGCCAUUUGCUUUAAGAGAGGUAAAGGUAGCCUGACUUCUGUUCACUCUGUAGUACAGAAUACAUUGUUAACAAGUCAUAGGUAUGUUCUUUUAGGUUUCUAAUUACUGUCAGCCUCUCAUUUCAGACAGGUGAUGUGAUAAGGUGAAAUGAUUACUAUAUUUAGACUCAAAAGUCCUGAGUUUGAGUCCUCGUUUAACGAUCUAGUCCAUGAGCUUCAGUUUUCUCACCUGUUAAAUGGAAAUGAUGAUUAUUUCCUGGAAAUUGCAUUUCCAGGUUGUUUUGAAUGAUAAAUGAUAUGGUGUAUAUAUCAGCUGUUUGCAAACCAGAAAAAGCUAUUCUAUGGUAAACACAUGCAGUGGGCUGAAUUGUGUCUCCCAAAAUUCAUAUGUUGAAGUCCUCACCCCCAGGGCCUCAGAAUGUGACUGUAUUUGGAUCUAGGGUCUUCAAGAGAUAACUAAGUUAGAAUGAGGUCAUUUGGGUUGAUCCUAAUCCAACUGACUGAUAUCCUUAUAAGACGACGAAAUUUGGAUACAGAAAUACACAGAAGACAGGGAGAAGAUGGCCAUCUACAAGCUAAGGAGAGAGGCCUCAGAAGAAACACACCUGCCACACCUUGAAUUUGGACUUCUAGCCAUCAGAACUGUGGGAAAAUAAAUUUCUGUUGUUUAAGCCAGGAGUCCUCAACCCCCGGGCUGUGGACCUGUACCAGUCGGUGGCAUGUUAAGGACUGGGCUCCACAGCAGGAGGUGAGUGGUGGGCGAGUGAGCAUUACUGCCUGAGCUCCACCUCCCGUCAGAUCAGCAGUGGCAUUAGAUUCUCAUAGGAGCACAAACCCUAUUGUAAACUGAGCACGCAAGGGAUCUAGGUUGUGCGCUCCUUACGAGAAUCUAAUGCCUGAUAAUCUGAGAUUGAACAGUUUUAUCCCCAAACCAUCCCCUCCACCACCCCCGUGGUCUGUGGAAAAAUUGUCUUCCACAAAACUGGUCCCUGGUGCCGAAAAGGUUAGGGACCAGCGGCUCAAGCCACCCAGCCUGUGGUACUUUGUUACGGUAGCCCUGGCAAAUGAAUACAACACGUUUUAGACUAUGAUGUUACACAUGCAGUGUGUUGAGAGCCAAAGAACCCAAAUGAUUCGUGGUAUCUGCCCUUGAAGAGUUUUUAAUCUUUUUGGGCAUGAUGAAACAUACACAUGGAAAAUAAAAUAGCAUAUAACCAAGUGCCCAAAUCAGUAAUAAAUACAGUUGACUCCAUAAACAUUUAGGAACCUUCUAUCCCAUGUUUCCACAUUCUAUCCCAGUGGCUUUUGCCACUAAAUUUCUUCACCCACUAUUAGACUGAUGUUUUCAUCUUUCAGUAUCAGACUCAAGCUUUAAUCUAGAAAGAGGGGGUGGGGGGAUAAAUGCUAUACUUUGGAACCAGUCCGGAUAUUUUAAGUAUGUUUUUAAAAAGUAUAAUCCUCACAACAUGAAAGUUAUUAGUUCUAUUUUUCAGGUGAGAAGAGUUAAGGUCAAACAGACGAAAGCUAGUUAGUGGAGGGACUGGUAUUCCAAGCCCAUUCUGGUUAAACUAAAUCUUGUGUUCUUUCCACUAGAAAACUGCUUUUUGUCUUAAUUAUAAUUUUGUGACAAGGAUGUAUAGUCCAUUAAGGAAUAUAUACAACAGAAGAAGCAUUUAAGUGGACUUGAGGUUUGUGAAUCUGAACUAGUUUCUAUCGACUUUCACAUCAGCAGCUCCUAUUCUGGGGAAAGAGAAUGGAGGCUGGGAGUGAUCCUGACAAACCUUGAUGUGCAGGCUUGUGGAGAAACUGGAUUCACACCCAGGCUCGUGGAGUGUGGGAGAGGCUGGCCUGUCACAAUAUCAGGACAGCCUCUCUUAAUAACACUGCAGAAGGAAUCGAGGGCCCUGUGGUUUGCGGUCAGUGUGCCUCUUGUGCCAACUUUGGCACUACAAUGUCUUCAAUCACAUUAUCUUCCAAACCGGCUCUUCAUCCUAUGUCCUUAUUUCUGCUAAUGGUAUUCAUUUCUCUUAUUCAUGGACUCUGGGAAUCUUGGUGGUAUUAAAACCUGUCUCUUCUUUCCCCCUCGAUCUUCCACAUUCCAUUUCCUUUCAGCAGAAUCCCAAGCCUUCACCAUUUUUCAUUUUUGGUGCUGUUUCAGAGUUGCUGUGAACUUUACCUGGGUCCUCUAUCACCUUACCCAGCCAUUUGUCAUUCUGCCUGGUAAAGGGUUGAGCAGAUUUAUCUAUAUGAAUGAUCUUAUUUAAGCUAUUCUGUACACCUUCUGCUACUUAAACAGGCUCUAUGCUUCCACAUCUGCUCUCUAUCUGCCUAUGUGACUCAAACUUCAAUUGUCCAUCUCAGACAUCACAUCCUCCAUGAAGCCCUCUUGGGUUAUUUGAAGUAAUCUCUCUUCUGGGCUCUCAUAGCAUUACUGCUUGUAACUCUUUCAAAAGAUGAAUUUUGUGCUGUUGUUUACUUAAUGAGUACAAAUUUAGUGAUAAAUUUGAAAAACUUGUGUCCAUGUUUGAUAAAUAUGAAAAUCUCAUCAUUUUCAAUAUUUCUUAGAAUUUCAAAAUGUACUAAAUAUUAUUAAAAACCAAUCAUGGCAAUUUUAACAUUGAGUAUUCUUUUUUGAAAUAUGAAUGCUCCUCUCUCAAGACUGGUAUACUUUCUCACUCUACUCCCUUUUCAAGUGCCCUUAUCGAACUUUGCUGAUGAAAUCAUCUUUUCUUAGUUUGUUAGACUUUGGAUGGUGGAGACCUGUGCCUGCUACUUCUCUCAUCUCCUGAUACCUAAUGCAUAGUGUUCAGUAAGUAUUUAUUUGGUGAUAACAAUAUCAAAAACUAGAUAAUGCUUAGAAGAUCCAACACCUUCCAAAAUCUCUGUUAACCAGGUACUGAAAUAUGGUCAACCAGAUGAGCUGAAAUGUCAAGAACUUAUAGACACACAUGGUUUCAUGGUUGUGAAACUAGAAGAUGUGGCAUAUUUUACACAAUGGAGGGAAGAGCAAAGGUUAUGCAUGUGCGGAGGCAGAGCCCCUAGGCAGGUUUCCCUCUUUUCCUUCCUGUGCACUGAUUUUUAUUUUGGUGAACUGAAACAGGGGUCUAACAAACUGGUAUCUCAUUUGUCUUUAUAAACAGAACUGCCAGAUUGGCUUUGCAAUUCAGGGCCCUGUAGGGUGCCCACCUCCUCAGUUUGGGCAGCAGCAUUACAUCUGAGUCUUAGAAUAAAAAUGGAAAGCAAUGGCUCAACCCAUUGGUUUGUCACCAUCCACAUGAAGGAUCUCUAUUGGUAAAAAAACAGACUCCCGUGUUCAAGGCCCUGGGGCUGGAAUCAAAUCCAUCAUUCAUUUAUUUCGGUUUUUUAAGGCUAAAUACAUAGGGAAGAAAAUGAAAUGUGAGAAAGCUGUGCAUUUUCAAUGUCAUCUUGAAAGUGAGUAUCUUUAGACACAUAAAGUAGAUGAGUGGUUAACUUGGGCUGGGAGAGGGAGUGAGGAGUGGUUGUACAUGGCACAAGGUUUCUAUUUAGUGUGAUUGAAAUGUUCUAUAAUUUGAUUGAUGAUUGUACAGUUCUGUAAAUAAACUAAAAUGUAUUGAAUUGUAUAAUUAAAACAUGCAGAUUUUAUAUUUAAAAUAUACUUUGAUAAAAGUGUUUUAAAAAUGAAUAUCUCAUAGGGUAGAAUGAAAUGAAUAAGAGAAACAGUGAGGCAUCCAGGGGACUUUCUGCACAGUGGGUCUGUCAUUAGGCAGGUACGUUGCCACAGCCAGUUCUAAUGCCCACUCAUAGGCCAAUGCCUAGGACAAUUGCUCAGAUAUCGCCUCUGACAGGCAAGUGUUCCAUCAGUAACAGCAGGCAUCGGAAGAUGAUGCCAUUCCCUGCUGUUAGUAUGAUUAUAUUGACUUAGGUUUUUAAUUUUCUUUCUUGCUGUGUUUUUUUUUUUUCACCUUCUUAGCCUCUAAAGCAUGAACAUCUGUGUUUUUCAG
rnacentral:lncRNA from 10 species